CUCGCCUUCCGUUGUUUUUCUUCUCUCAUUCUCUCUCUCUCUCGCUCGCUCUACCACCCUCGCUCUCUUUCCACUGCACUCGCUCCUUGUAUCAGGUGAUCGGGUUAAUUGGGAACCCACCUGCACAUUGAUUGCAGGGUGGCGCUAGCCUGUAUAAAGCUAAGCCGAUGUCUUGUUGGAUUAAUUCCUCCCGAGCUUCUGGUACGAUACAGCAGUAAAUGCUGGCGUACUGCGACGGACUGAUCAGCAAGAGCCGAUUAUAUGACAGCUACAGGUAUGCUCUCGCUUAACCUUGGAUUCCCUCCGAAUACUGGAAUUGGUGUUAAUAUCCUUUUCCGGCCUGUUGUAGCGCAGCAGUCUGUUUAAUUCUGCCAUUGCGGAGAGAGGUGUUCGUGGUAUCUCCACCAAUGAGAGUAUAGUGCCUCCGGUCCUGGGGGUUCACUGCUGUACUCACCUCUCCAUGUGAAGGAGGACGAGCCAGUGGCCCUGGGACCUCAGGUGGUGGGUCGUUUUCACACUUUCUUUUGUACAGCACUGGGUGGUCUGCAGUGAUUCUUGUGGUGUGAUUUUCUUUUGGUUCCACGGCUGCUGGUAAGUCCAAGUUCCACGAUUGUUUAUUUUUACUGUAGGACACUGUCAAUAAUGAUGCUACAUCUUGACUUUUAAUAUUUUAUUUAUAAAAUAUUAUUUAUAAUAUUUUAUUCAUUUCUAUAAAUAAAACUGUUUUAAUAUUGGAAGCCAACCUGCCUCAGUGUGCAUCCUUGAAUCUGUGCGGUCUUCUUUUAUUCCUUUUCUUUAUUUUUCUUAAAUAUAUUUCCUGGGGGUGUAAUUCCCCUAGGUGGCGUUGUCAAGUUUAUUUAUUUUGUUCAUAACCCCGCCGACCACUUGGUCACACAGUGAAAAGGCAGGAGGUUGGUUUUUUUUUUUUUUUUUUUUUUUUUUUUUUUUUUUGUCCCUUACUGCCCACACUACUUGGCUCCCUGCAAUUUUCCCCCAAAUUAAAGUCAAGCUAAACGGUAGCACCUUUAAUACAGUUGAGAGCAAAUAUAUACAGAUGAUCAAAAAAUAUUUCCAAUGAAGAGGAAAAACUGCACAAGGACAUUAUUAUGAACAACAGAGUGGUUAAAUUAAAAUUUACGUACACCUGAAUGCAGUUAAGAAACUAUUUGAUCAUACCAUUCAUCUGUCCAUUACCACUUAUCCACUCCAGGGGCGCAGCGAGAGGGACUAGAGGCUAUUCUUGUCUCUCUGUGUGAGUAGAGACACCAUGAAUGAUGGGAAGUUCCAUGUGUAAGGAACCCAGGGGGUCUCCCACACAAACUUCUGCAUAGCAAGGUAAACACGUGUCUCUUCUCUUUUCCUGCUGGAGAUCAUGUAGGAGCCCCAGCUUGUUUAGGUUAGAAGAAAUGCAUGAACCAUGUGGAAUACUUUGUCUUUGGCCUCCAGUGCCUCAUCUGCAUGAUUUGAGCAAGUGGGAAAAUAAAAACAUGUGUCCCUCAGGUGUUGCCUGUGCUCAGUUGCAGGGUUUCCUCCUUCCUUUUCCUGUAACUACAUGAGGUCGUAAUAUUCACUAAACAAUGCCAGAGGUAUUAAGAGAUCGGUAGAGAAACCUGAAAUACUGAUCUUCAGGGAAGUCAGUGUGAGUCACGGGUGUAACCAAGUCAGUGGUGUUUUGGCCAUGCCUUUCCCCGAGGCUAAAUAGGCAGUAUCAAAAAGCAAGAGGAUAGGUUCUGCUGUCCUGCAAACCUCAUUCAACAAUCUGACAGGGCUCUCUUUGAUCAGGAGGCCUCAUGCAAUUUCUAAACUGGUAAGCUAUCAAUACUAGUGUGCAAACGAUGAUCCUUUGCUCACUGUAAAUGUGCUUU